rnacentral:rRNA from 1 species
AUGAACGCUGGCGGCGUGCCUAAUACAUGCAAGUCGAGCGAACAGACGAGGAGCUUGCUCCUCUGACGUUAGCGGCGGACGGGUGAGUAACACGUGGAUAACCUACCUAUAAGACUGGGAUAACUUCGGGAAACCGGAGCUAAUACCGGAUAAUAUAUUGAACCGCAUGGUUCAAUAGUGAAAGACGGUUUUGCUGUCACUUAUAGAUGGAUCCGCGCCGCAUUAGCUAGUUGGUAAGGUAACGGCUUACCAAGGCAACGAUGCGUAGCCGACCUGAGAGGGUGAUCGCCCACACUGGAACUGAGACACGGUCCAGACUCCUACGGGAGGCAGCAGUAGGGAAUCUUCCGCAAUGGGCGAAAGCCUGACGGAGCAACGCCGCGUGAGUGAUGAAGGUCUUCGGAUCGUAAAACUCUGUUAUUAGGGAAGAACAAAUGUGUAAGUAACUAUGCACGUCUUGACGGUACCUAAUCAGAAAGCCACGGCUAACUACGUG